rnacentral:tRNA from 1 species
GGUGCUGUGGCUCAGUGGUAGAGCAUUAGACUUGAGCUGAAGAGCCUAGAGACAGCACCC